AGUAUUAGGAAGUACACAGGAACUUCAAGAGAAAGCAUUCCUGGAAGUGCCUCAUUUUUCUGCAGGAACAGUGCUGCAGCCUCCGCAUUUUUUUCUUUUCCCUAAUACUCUAUAUUGACUUAAACAAGAACUCUUUUCCCACAGGAGGACUAUGCAAUACUUAUACUACUCAGAAGCCAUCUAGUGCCACUAAUACCCGGUGAUACUUCAGGCAGUUUUAACUCAUCUUCAGACGAGUUAACGGCAGGUAAGGGAUGUGAAUUGCAUUGGUGCCUGUAAGAAAACUGCCAGACCAGAGAGAAACCUCACCAAGUGUCAACGUCACGUUUGGUAGCUGAAUGCUUAGAACUCAAACACUGUUCUGAAGUUUCUUCUCCGAGACAUGCCAACCAGACAAGACACUUCUCACAGAAUCACAGAAUGUCAGGGAUUGGAAGGGACCUCAAAAGAUCAUCUAGUCCAAUCCCCCUGUCGGAGCAGGAACACCCAGAUGAGGUUACACAGGAACAUGUCCAGGCGGGUUUUGAAUGUCUCCAGUGUAGGAGACUCCACAAUCCCCCUGGGCAGCCUGUUCCAGUGCUCUGUCACCCUCACUGUGAAGGAGUUUCUUCUCAAAUUUAAGUGGAACCUCCUGUGUUCCAGUUUGUACCCAUUACCCCUUGUCCUAUCAUUGGUUGUCACCGAGAAGAGCCUGGCUCCAUCCUCGUGACACUCACCCUUUACAUAUUUGUAAACAUUAAUGAGG